AACGAACGCUGGCGGCAGGCCUAACACAUGCAAGUCGAACGCUCCGCAAGGAGAGUGGCAGACGGGUGAGUAACACGUGGGAGUCUUCCUGUUGGUUCGGAAUAGCUCAGGGAAACUUGGGGUAAUACCGGAUAAGCCCGAGAGGGGAAAGAUUUAUCGCCGACAGAUGAGCCCGCGUCUGAUUAGCUAGUUGGUGAGGUAAUGGCUCACCAAGGCGACGAUCAGUAGCNGGUCUGAGAGGAUGACCAGCCACACUGGGACUGAGACACGGCCCAGACUCCUACGGGAGGCAGCAGUGGGGAAUAUUGCGCAAUGGGCGAAAGCCUGACGCAGCGACGCCGCGUGA
rnacentral:rRNA from 1 species